AAAGGAUUAGUUAAUAACAUAUAACAUCAGAAUGUCAAACUGAAAUAAUCAAAAAGAUAUCCUUUU
rnacentral:tRNA from 1 species